rnacentral:rRNA from 1 species
AAUUUUCGGCAAUGGGGGCAACCCUGACCGAGCAACGCCGCGUGGAGGAUGACGGCCUUCGGGUUGUAAACUCCUUUUGGGGGGGAAGACAUCGACGGUACCCCCCGAAUCAGGCUCGGCUAACUCUGUGCCAGCAGCCGCGGUAAGACAGAGGAGCCAAGCGUUGUCCGGAUUGACUGGGCGUAAAGCGCACGCAGGUGGUUGCGCAAGUGCCGUGUGAAAGCCGGCGGCUUAACUGCCGGAGGCCAUGGCAGACUGCGUCACUCGAGGCCGAGAGAGGUCCGUGGAAUUGCCGGUGUAGUGGUGAAAUGCGUAGAGAUCGGCAGGAACACCCAAGGAGAAAUCAGCGGACUGGCUCGGUACUGACACUGAGGUGCGAAAGCGUGGGGAGCGAAC